rnacentral:rRNA from 1 species
UACGUAGGGGGCUAGCGUUGUCCGGAAUCAUUGGGCGUAAAGCGCGCGUAGGCGGCCAGAUAAGUCCGGUGUGAAAGUCACAGGCUCAACCUGUGAAUGCCGCUGGAAACUGUCUGGCUAGAGUCCGGAAGGGGCGAGUGGAAUUCCUGGUGUAGCGGUGAAAUGCGCAGAUAUCGGGAGGAACACCAGCGGCGAAGGCGGCACUCUGGGCUGGAACUGACGCUGAGGAGCGAAAGCGUGGGUAGCAAACAGG